AUGGAGAAGGCUUUGAGGAGAUCUGGGUGGAGCACUAUUUUACUCGAUGCUGCUAUACACCGUGAGAAGACUCAUGACAUGACUAACUUACUGUCAACAGUAAAUAUAUGUGGAGAGAAAGAUGGUAAACAAGGCUUAGAAAGAAACCACUCGAGGCUAAAUACCAUUGUCAAACAAAACCAUUUCUUAUCCUCAGGUCUGUUUGCUUGCAAAGUUUCGGGAGAUAAGAAAAAGGCACCAACAAUAUCUGCUACUAUGUGGAACUCAAACUCGCUCUUAAGUCUAGUUUGCUCUUAUUGCCGGCUGGAGUGCAACGGCACGAUCUUGCUUCACCACAACUUCCGCCCCCCUGGUUCAAGCGAUUCUCCUGCCUCAGCUUCCCGAGUAGCUGGGAUUACAGAUUCAGUUCCACGGACCCCAAGAAGACAGCUGUAGAGAGAAAAGCAAGAGGAGUGGAAAAACACCUUUUAUGGUGCAACCUUUCAAUAUUUAUUCAUUAGUCGAUAAACUAUAAACAAAAUAAAAAGGCAAAACACAUAGGCA
rnacentral:lncRNA from 13 species